rnacentral:rRNA from 1 species
AACGCGAAGAACCUUACCUGGGCUCGAACGGCUUCUUAACGGAGGUGGAAACAUCUCUAUCCCGCAAGGGAGUGGAGUCGAGGUGCUGCAUGGCUGUCGUCAGCUCGUGUCGUGAGAUGUUGGGUUAAGUCCCGCAACGAGCGCAACCCUCGUCCUGUGUUGCCAUGCCCGCAAGGGCGGAACUCGCAGGAGACCGCCAGCGAUAAGCUGGAGGAAGGUGGGGAUGACGUCAAGUCCUCAUGGCCUUUAUGUCCAGGGCUACACACGUGCUACAAUGGCCGGUACAAAGCGUUCCCAAGCCGCGAGGUGGAGGCAAUCGCAGAAAGCCGGUCUCAGUUCGGAUUGCAGGCUGCAACUCGCCUGCAUGAAGCUGGAAUCGCUAGUAAUGGCGGAUCAGCAUGCCGCCGUGAAUACGUUCCCGGGCCUUGUACACACCG